rnacentral:tRNA from 1 species
AGGGGUAUAGCUCAGCUUGGUAGAGCACAGGUCUCCAAAACCUGGUGUCGGGGGUUCGAAUCCCUCUGCCCCUG